rnacentral:rRNA from 1 species
ACCAGACUCCUACGGGAGGCAGCAGUGAGGAAUAUUGGUCAAUGGGCGGGAGCCUGAACCAGCCAAGCCGCGUGAGGGAAGAAGGUACAGCGUAUCGUAAACCUCUUUUGUCAGGGAACAAAGGCGGGGACUAGUCCCCGGAUGAGGGUACCUGAAGAAAAAGCAUCGGCUAACUCCGUGCCAGCAGCCGCGGUAAUACGGAGGAUGCGAGCGUUAUCCGGAUUUAUUGGGUUUAAAGGGAGCGUAGACGGCUGUGCAAGUCUGGAGUGAAAGGCGGGGGCCCAACCCCCGGACUGCUCUGGAAACUGUAUGGCUGGAGUGCAGGAGAGGUAAGCGGAAUUCCUAGUGUAGCGGUGAAAUGCGUAGAUAUUAGGAGGAACACCAGUGGCGAAGGCGGCUUACUGGACUGUAACUGACGUUGAGGCUCGAAAGCGUGGGGAGCAAACAGGAUUAGAUACCCUAGUA